GCGGAGUCGGGAUGUUAAGCCCACUCGCUACGCUCGCUAACGUGCCAUGAACACCUCCCCCUAGCGCUCACUAGAGGAGUUGCUAUCUGAUUACCAUUUUGGCGAGAAGUGAGAGAAGGUGAGGGUGAAAGCUUAUUGGUGGAGACGGUUCCCUUCUUUUUCAUCGUUGAUUGCAGGUUCGAAGUUCUCAUCGCGUUCUUCGUUUCUGCUUUGUCGCCCAAGGAGAAACAUACACAGUCCCCUUCUUCUUUUUUGGUGAUAAUCUAGGUUUUCUGUGCAGUUGUAUAAUUCCAACGAGAAUAAGUUUGAUUAAAUUCAGAAUUAAAGAUAACAAAUUGCACAAAGAGAGAAAUUGUUCAAGCAUGUUUAGACAUCGAGUUGUUCCCCUGCGUCUGAAAAUUUGUCAUUGACAUUGCCUACGAUUGCUCCGACGACAGUGUCAGUGUAACUAGCAAGAUUUCCACCUUCAAUACAUUUUGAAGAAUGACUUUUUUUCUUCAGUUUGAUGACCAUUCAACUUAGUGUUCAUUCACUCUUCAAUGUUCAGUUGAAUAUCAUGAUGGAGCAAAGUUAAAGAGAAGAAUGGGAUUGAAGGAUUUGAUAGCAAUUGAUUUGUAGUCAUCGUAUAUUCUCUUUAGUUAUUAGGUAUAAACCGAUCAAAUGUUUCAUCAAGGAAGCGAUUGUAUUUUGUUUUUAUAAAAGAAUGUAAGGAUAAAUAUAUUUCUAGUAUUUGGUUUAUUAUGUAAGAAUGUAGCUUAGGCAAAUCGUAUCUGUUAAAUAUACAUUUAGUUUUGAUCUGUAA